rnacentral:rRNA from 1 species
UGGCUCAGAUUGAACGCUGGCGGCAGGCCUAACACAUGCAAGUCGAGCGGAUGAAGAGAGCUUGCUCUCUGAUUCAGCGGCGGACGGGUGAGUAAUGCCUAGGAAUCUGCCUGGUAGUGGGGGACAACGUCUCGAAAGGGACGCUAAUACCGCAUACGUCCUACGGGAGAAAGCAGGGGACCUUCGGGCCUUGCGCUAUCAGAUGAGCCUAGGUCGGAUUAGCUAGUUGGUGAGGUAAUGGCUCACCAAGGCGACGAUCCGUAACUGGUCUGAGAGGAUGAUCAGUCACACUGGAACUGAGACACGGUCCAGACUCCUACGGGAGGCAGCAGUGGGGAAUAUUGGACAAUGGGCGAAAGCCUGAUCCAGCCAUGCCGCGUGUGUGAAGAAGGUCUUCGGAUUGUAAAGCACUUUAAGUUGGGAGGAAGGGUUGUAGAUUAAUACUCUGCAAUUUUGACGUUACCGACAGAAUAAGCACCGGCUAACUCUGUGCCAGCAGCCGCGGUAAUACAGAGGGUGCAAGCGUUAAUCGGAAUUACUGGGCGUAAAGCGCGCGUAGGUGGUUUGUUAAGUUGGAUGUGAAAGCCCCGGGCUCAACCUGGGAACUGCAUUCAAAACUGACAAGCUAGAGUAUGGUAGAGGGUGGUGGAAUUUCCUGUGUAGCGGUGAAAUGCGUAGAUAUAGGAAGGAACACCAGUGGCGAAGGCGACCACCUGGACUGAUACUGACACUGAGG